rnacentral:piRNA from 1 species
UCACUACAGUAUAUGACAGAU